GGAGGAGGACCGGCACGGGCCACGAGGAAGCCACGGGCAGUAACCUGCGGGCCGAGCUCCUGGGACGCCUUCCUGAUGCGUGCUGAGCAAUGGAGGAAGGCUGUGCUCCCAGGAGAAACUGUACAGAGAGGGGAAAGAGGGUGAUCGCAUUCAGGCUCAGCCUCAGCCUGUCCCUGGGUGGAGCGCGUUCAUCCCACCUUGCGUUGAUGGAGCCGGCACCAGUGGCGGAGAAGCUGACGCAAUCACUCUCAGUUCCUUGCUGCUAAGCACCAGGAA
rnacentral:lncRNA from 1 species